rnacentral:rRNA from 1 species
UGCGUAGGUGGUUUCUUAAGUCAGAGGUGAAAGGCUACGGCUCAACCGUAGUAAGCCUUUGAAACUGGGAAACUUGAGUGCAGGAGAGGAGAGUGGAAUUCCUAGUGUAGCGGUGAAAUGCGUAGAUAUUAGGAGGAACACCAGUGGCGAAGGCGACUUUCUGGACUGUAACUGACACUGAGGCUCGAAAGCCAGGGUAGUGAACG